rnacentral:rRNA from 1 species
GACGAACGCUGGCGGCGUGCUUAACACAUGCAAGUCGAACGAUGAACCCGGAGCUUGCUCCGGUGGAUUAGUGGCGAACGGGUGAGUAACACGUGAGUAACCUGCCCUUGACUCUGGAAUAACUGCGGGAAACUGUAGCUACUACCGGAUACGACCCUCGGCGGCAUCGCCAGGGGGUGGAAAGAAUUUCGGUCAAGGAUGGACUCGCGGCCUAUCAGCUAGUUGGUGAGGUAACGGCUCACCAAGGCGACGACGGGUAGCCGGCCUGAGAGGGUGACCGGCCACACUGGGACUGAGACACGGCCCAGACUCCUACGGGAGGCAGCAGUGGGGAAUAUUGCACAAUGGGCGCAAGCCUGAUGCAGCAACGCCGCGUGAGGGAUGACGGCCUUCGGGUUGUAAACCUCUUUUAGUAGGGAAGAAGCGAAAGUGACGGUACCUGCGGAAAAAGCACCGGCUAACUACGUGCCAGCAGCCGCCGCCG